UUUUUCUUUCACCGGAGCUUGCUCCACCGAAAGAAAAAGAGUGGCGAACGGGUGAGUAACACGUGGGUAACCUGCCCAUCAGAAGGGGAUAACACUUGGAAACAGGUGCUAAUACCGUAUAACACUAUUUUCCGCAUGGAAGAAAGUUGAAAGGCGCUUUUGCGUCACUGAUGGAUGGACCCGCGGUGCAUUAGCUAGUUGGUGGGGUAACGGCUCACCAAGGCAACGAUGCAUAGCCGACCUGAGAGGGUGAUCAGCCACACUGGGACUGAGACACGGCCCAGACUCCUACGGGAGGCAGCAGUAGGGAAUCUUCGGCAAUGGACGAAAGUCUGACCGAGCAACGCCGCGUGAGUGAAGAAGGUUUUCGGAUCGUAAAACUCUGUUGUUAGAGAAGAACAAGGAUGAGAGUAAAAUGUUCAUCCCUUGACGGUAUCUAACCAGAAAGCCACGGCUAACUACGUGCCAGCAGCCGCGGUAAUACGUAGGUGGCAAGCGUUGUCCGGAUUUAUUGGGCGUAAAGCGAGCGCAGGCGGUUUCUUAAGUCUGAUGUGAAAGCCCCCGGCUCAACCGGGGAGGGUCAUUGGAAACUGGGAGACUUGAGUGCAGAAGAGGAGAGUGGAAUUCCAUGUGUAGCGGUGAAAUGCGUAGAUAUAUGGAGGAACACCAGUGGCGAGGGCGGCUCUCUGGUCUGUAACUGACGCUGAGGCUCGAAAGCGUGGGGAGCGAACAGG
rnacentral:rRNA from 1 species